AACACCGAAGUUAAGCAUCGUAGAGCCAGGUCAGUACUUAGAUGGGGGACCGCUUGGGAACACCUGGUACUGUAAGC
rnacentral:rRNA from 1 species